AUUGAACGCUGGCGGCAUGCCUUACACAUGCAAGUCGAACGGUAACGGGCCUUCGGGCGCCGACGAGUGGCGAACGGGUGAGUAAUGCAUCGGAACGUACCUUUCAGUGGGGGAUAACGUAGCGAAAGUUACGCUAAUACCGCAUAUUCUGUGAGCAGGAAAGCAGGGGAUCGCAAGACCUUGCGCUGAUUGAGCGGCCGAUGUCAGAUUAGCUAGUUGGUGAGGUAAAGGCUCACCAAGGCGACGAUCUGUAGCGGGUCUGAGAGGAUGAUCCGCAACACUGGAACUGAGACACGGUCCAGACUCCUAAGGGAGGCAGCAGUGGGGAAUGUUGGACAAUGGGGGCAACUCUGAUCCAGCCAUGCCGCGUGAGUGAAGAAGGCCUUCGGGUUGUAAAGUUCUUUCGGCCGGGAAGAAAUCGUAUGGGCUAAUACCCUGUGCGGAUGACGGUACCGGCAUAAGAAGCACCGGCUAACUACGUGCCAGCCGCCGCGGUAACAC
rnacentral:rRNA from 1 species